rnacentral:misc_RNA from 1 species
UGUUUGUUUCGGGUUUGAAUUGGCGUUGAGAUUUGCAGAAUUGGGGAUUUUGGUUUGACCGAUUUGUUUUUUCAAUUCGAUAAUUAGGGUUUUGGUUUUGGAAUUGGAAUGGGUGAGGAUUUUCUAACGUACAGCUUCGGGUGCAACGGGUACAACUACUCGUAGAGGAAUUUUGAUGAAGACAAGGAUGAUGGUGAAACGGACGGUGAAAGUGGAAAUGCCGAAACUCAAGCGGUGCAAAGCGGAGGGUAAUGACAGCGGCGGCGAGGGAGAAUCGUGUUCGGCGAGUCCGAAGAAAUUGAAAACUGAUGAGCUCUUCACAGUGCCUAUAAGGGAAUUAGAAGAUUACCGCACUAGUUUGGUGGAUUCAUUUUGUAGAGAAGCUCUGAGUUACGCGGGUGAAGUAGAAUCAAGCUUGGUUUUAGCUGGAGCUUCGAGAAGUUUGGAUAAAGCUUUGGAGGUUAGUAAUAAUAAGCCUCCACUUUUGAAGUCUUCUCGUGGUCGCAUUCAAGUGCUGCCUUCAAAGUUCAAUGACUCUGUUUUGCCUUCGUGGAGGAAAGAAGAAAAUCAGGAAGAACAAGAACUACUAUGUUUGAAUGAGAAGGACGAAGAGGCUGUUUUGCCUCGGAAGAAAAGGUUCAAG